UACAGAGGGGGCAAGCGUUGUUCGGAAUUACUGGGCGUAAAGGGCGCGUAGGCGGCCUGUUAAGUCGAACGUGAAAUCCCCGGGCUCAACCCGGGAACUGCGUCCGAUACUGGCUGGCUUGAAUCCGGGAGAGGGAUGCGGAAUUCCAGGUGUAGCGGUGAAAUGCGUAGAUAUCUGGAGGAACACCGGUGGCGAAGGCGGCAUCCUGGACCGGUAUUGACGCUGAGGCGCGAAAGCCAGGGGAGCAAGCGGG
rnacentral:rRNA from 1 species